rnacentral:rRNA from 1 species
GUGCUUAACACAUGCAAGUCGAACGGAAAGGCCGAAGCUUGCUUCGGUACUCGAGUGGCGAACGGGUGAGUAACACGUGGGUGAUCUGCCCUGUACUUCGGGAUAAGCUUGGGAAACUGGGUCUAAUACCGGAUAUGACAAUCUCUUGGAUGGGGUUGUGGAAAGCUUUUGCGGUAUGGGAUGAGCUCGCGGCCUAUCAGCUUGUUGGUGGGGUAAUGGCCUACCAAGGCGUCGACGGGUAGCCGGCCUGAGAGGGUGUACGGCCACAUUGGGACUGAGAUACGGCCCAGACUCCUACGGGAGGCAGCAGUGGGGAAUAUUGCACAAUGGGCGCAAGCCUGAUGCAGCGACGCCGCGUGGGGGAUGACGGCCUUCGGGUUGUAAACUCCUUUCGCAACCGACGAAGCUUUUGUGACGGUAGGUUGAGAAGAAGCACCGGCUAACUACGUGCCAGCAGCCGCGGUAAUACGUAGGGUGCGAGCGUUGUCCGGAAUUACUGGGCGUAAAGAGCUCGUAGGUGGUUUGUCGCGUCGUUUGUGGAAUACCGCAGCUUAWCUGCGGGGUUGCAGGCGAUACGGGCAUAACUUGAGUGCUGUAGGGGAGACUGGAAUUCCUGGUGUAGCGGUGGAAUGCGCAGAUAUCAGGAGGAACACCRAUGGCGAAGGCAGGUCUCUGGGCAGUAACUGACGCUGAGGAGCRAAAGCAUGGGGAGCGAACAGGAUUAGAUAC